rnacentral:rRNA from 1 species
AGAGUUUGAUUCUGGCUCAGGAUGAACGCUAGCGAUAGGCCUAACACAUGCAAGUCGAGGGGCAGCACAUGAGGUAGCAAUACGGAUGGUGGCGACCGGCGCACGGGUGAGUAACGCGUAUGCAACCUGCCUACAACAGGGGAAUAACCCGUUGAAAGACGGACUAAUACCCCAUAACACAGGGAUCCCGCAUGGGAAUAUUUGUUAAAGAUUUAUCGGUUGUAGAUGGGCAUGCGUUCCAUUAGCUGGUUGGUGAGGUAACGGCUCACCAAGGCAACGAUGGAUAGGGGAACUGAGAGGUUUAUCCCCCACACUGGUACUGAGACACGGACCAGACUCCUACGGGAGGCAGCAGUGAGGAAUAUUGGCCAAUGGACGCAAGUCUGAACCAGCCACGUCGCGUGAAGGAAGACGGCCCUACGGGUUGUAAACUUCUUUUGUAAGGGAAUAAAGUGCAGUACGUGUACUGUUUUGCAUGUACCUUACGAAUAAGGAUCGGCUAACUCCGUGCCAGCAGCCGCGGUAAUACGGAGGAUCCGAGCGUUAUCCGGAUUUAUUGGGUUUAAAGGGUGCGCAGGCGGGAGAUUAAGUCGGCGGUGAAAUUUUGCAGCUCAACUGUAAAAGUGCCUUCGAAACUGGUUUUCUUGAGUGUGGAUGAAGUAGGCGGAAUUUGUGGUGUAGCGGUGAAAUGCAUAGAUAUCACGAGGAACUCCGGUUGCGCAGGCAGCUUACUAAACCAUAACUGACGCUCAGGCACGAAGGCGUGGGGAUCAAACAGGAUUAGAUACCCUGGUAGUC